rnacentral:rRNA from 1 species
CCUACGGGAGGCUGCAGUGAGGAAUAUUGGUCAAUGGGCGAGAGCCUGAACCAGCCAAGUCGCGUGAGGGAGUACUGCCCUAUGGGUUGUAAACCUCUUUUGCCGGGGAGCAAAAGCCGGACGUGUCCGGCUGUGAGAGUACCCGCAGAAAAAGCAUCGUCUAACUCCGUGCCAGCAGCCGCGGUAAUACGGAGGAUGCGAGCGUUAUCCGGUUUUAUUGGGGUUAAAGGGUGCGCAGGCGGAUUUUUAAGUCAGCGGUCAAAUCGUGGGGCUCAACCCCAUCCAGCCGUUGAAACUGGGGAUCUAGAGUGUGCGAGAGGUAUGCGGAAUGCGUGGUGUAGCGGUGAAAUGCAUAGAUAUCACGCAGAACCCCGAUUGCGAAGGCAGCAUACCGGUGCACAACUGACGCUCAGGCACGAAAGCGUGGGUAUCGAACAGGAUUAGAUACCCCGGUAGUC